rnacentral:rRNA from 1 species
AGUGAACGCUGGCGGUAGGCCUAACACAUGCAAGUCGAACGGCAGCACAGUAAGAGCUUGCUCUUACGGGUGGCGAGUGGCGGACGGGUGAGGAAUACAUCGGAAUCUACUUUUUCGUGGGGGAUAACGUAGGGAAACUUACGCUAAUACCGCAUACGACCUACGGGUGAAAGCAGGGGAUCUUCGGACCUUGCGCGAUUGAAUGAGCCGAUGUCGGAUUAGCUAGUUGGCGGGGUAAAGGCCCACCAAGGCGACGAUCCGUAGCUGGUCUGAGAGGAUGAUCAGCCACACUGGAACUGAGACACGGUCCAGACUCCUACGGGAGGCAGCAGUGGGGAAUAUUGGACAAUGGGCGCAAGCCUGAUCCAGCCAUACCGCGUGGGUGAGGAAGGCCUUCGGGUUGUAAAGCCCUUUUGUUGGGGAAGAAAAGCAGCAGGUUAAUACCCCGCUGUUCUGACGGUACCCAAAGAAUAAGCACCGGCUAACUUCGUG